UGCUCACGUUGGCUUUUAAGAUGUGCAGC
rnacentral:piRNA from 1 species